UAGCGGAGGAAAAGAAACUAACAAGGAUUCCCCUAGUAGCGGCGAGCGAAGCGGGAAGAGCUCAAAUUUAUAAUCUGGCACCUUCGGUGUCCGAGUUGUAAUCUCUAGAAAUGUUUUCCGCGUUGGACCGCACACAAGUCUGUUGGAAUACAGCGGCAUAGUGGUGAGACCCCCGUAUAUGGUGCGGACGCCCAGCGCUUUGUGAUACAUUUUCGAAGAGUCGAGUUGUUUGGGAAUGCAGCUCAAAUUGGGUGGUAAAUUCCAUCUAAAGCUAAAUAUUGGCGAGAGACCGAUAGCGAACAAGUACCGUGAGGGAAAGAUGAAAAGCACUUUGGAAAGAGAGUUAACAGUACGUGAAAUUGUUGGAAGGGAAACGCUUGAAGUCAGACUUGCUUGCUGAGCAAUCGGUUUGCAGGCCAGCAUCAGUUUUCCGGGAUGGAUAAUGGUAGAGAGAAGGUAGCAGUUUCGGCUGUGUUAUAGCUCUCUGCUGGAUACAUCUUGGGGGACUGAGGAACGCAGUGUGCCUUUGGCGGGGGUUUCGACCUCUUCACACUUAGGAUGCUGGUGGAAUGGCUUUAAACGACCCGUCUUGA
rnacentral:rRNA from 1 species